UAGCGAAGGGGGCUAGCGUUUGUUCGGAAGUUACUGGGACGUAAAGCGCGCGCAGGCGGUCUUCCAAGUCAAGUCGGUGAAAGCCCGGAGCUCAACUCCGGAACUGACCAUUGAAACUGUUAGACUUGGAGGAUGAGAGAGGUGAGUGGAAUUCCCAGUGUAGAGGUAGAAAUUCGUAGAUAUUGGGAAGAACACCGGUGGCGAAGGCGGCUCAUCUGGCUCAUUACUGACGCUCGAGGCGCGGAUAGCGUGGGGAUCAAACAGG
rnacentral:rRNA from 1 species